rnacentral:lncRNA from 1 species
CAGCCAGGACAUGUGCAUCCAGCAGGCAAACAGGAUUGCUGUAGGAUCUGAAAGAUCUCAUCCUGUAGGAUUUGACCAUGCAUCUUUGAACUUGAAUCUCUAGAGAUGAAUGGGCUGGUCUUCACUACAGGGAGAUCAACGCUGAGAUCAAUGGCAGAGCACUUUCCAGUCAACCUUGGUACUCCACCUCUCCGAGAAGAGUAAGGUAAGUCAAUGGGAGAACAUCUCCCAUUGACAAAGCGCAGUGUAGAUACCAGGGUA